rnacentral:misc_RNA from 1 species
GAUGAAGAACGUAGCGAAAUGCGAUACGUAAUGUGAAUUGCAGAAUUCAGUGAAUCAUCGAAUCUUUGAACGCAUAUUGCGCUCUCUGGUAUUCCGGAGAGCAUGCUUGUUUGAGUAUCAGUAAUCACCUCAACUUCCAUAUCUUUUUUGAAAUGGGAGUUGGACUUGAGUGAUCCCAACGCUUUUCCUCACCGAAAAGUGGCGGGUUACUUGAAAUGCAGGUGCAGCUGGACUUUUCUCUGAGCUUAUAAGCAUAUCUAUUUAGUCUGCCUAAAAAACAGAUUAUUACCUUUGCUGCAGCUAACAUAAAGGAGAUUAGUUCUUGUGCUGACUGAUGCAGGAUUCACAAAGACAGGCUUCGGCCGACUUUGUAAACUCGAUCUCAAAUCAAGUAAGACUACCCGCUGAACUUAAGCAUAUCAAUAAGCGGAGGA